UACGACCAUCUGGCGCAUGUCAUGGUGGUGGAAAGCUUUUGUGGNUNUGGAUGGACUCGCGGCCUAUCAGCUUGUUGGUGGGGUAAUGGCCUACCAAGGCGACGACGGGUAGCCGGCCUGAGAGGGUGACCGGCCACACUGGGACUGAGACACGGCCCAGACUCCUACGGGAGGCAGCAGUGGGGAAUAUUGCACAAUGGGCGCAAGCCUGAUGCAGCGACGCCGCGUGAGGGAUGACGGCCUUCGGGUUGUAAACCUCUUUCAGUAGGGAAGAAGCCGUGAGGUGACGGUACCUGCAGAAGAAGCGCCGGCUAACUACGUGCCAGCAGCCGCGGUAAUACGUAGGGCGCAAGCGUUAUCCGGAAUUAUUGGGCGUAAAGAGCUCGUAGGCGGUUUGUCGCGUCUGCUGUGAAAGACCGGGGCUCAACUCCGGUUCUGCAGUGGGUACGGGCAGACUAGAGUGCAGUAGGGGAGACUGGAAUUCCUGGUGUAGCGGUGAAAUGCGCAGAUAUCAGGAGGAACACCGAUGGCGAAGGCAGGUCUCUGGGCUGUAACUGACGCUGAGGAGCGAAAGCAUGGGGAGCGAACAGGAUUAGAUACCCUGGUAGUCCAUGCCGUAAACGUUGGGCACUAGGUGUGGGGGACAUUCCACGUUUUCCGCGCCGUAGCUAACGCAUUAAGUGCCCCGCCUGGGGAGUACGGCCGCAAGGCUAAAACUCAAAGGAAUUGACGGGGGCCCGCACAAGCGGCGGAGCAUGCGGAUUAAUUCGAUGCAACGCGAAGAACCUUACCAAGGCUUGACAUGAACCGGAAAGACCUGGAAACAGGUGCCCCGCUUGCGGUCGGUUUACAGGUGGUGCAUGGUUGUCGUCAGCUCGUGUCGUGAGAUGUUGGGUUAAGUCCCGCAACGAGCGCAACCCUCGUUCUAUGUUGCCAGCGCGUGAUGGCGGGGACUCAUAGGAGACUGCCGGGGUCAACUCGGAGGAAGGUGGGGACGACGUCAAAUCAUCAUGCCCCUUAUGUCUUGGGCUUCACGCAUGCUACAAUGGCCGGUACAAAGGGUUGCGAUACUGUGAGGUGGAGCUAAUCCCAAAAAGCCGGUCUCAGUUCGGAUUGGGGUCUGCAACUCGACCCCAUGAAGUCGGAGUCGCUAGUAAUCGC
rnacentral:rRNA from 1 species